CAGUAGCCGCGGUAAUACGUAGGGUGCAAGCGUUAAUCGGAAUUACUGGGCGUAAAGCGUGCGCAGGCGGUUAUAUAAGACAGAUGUGAAAUCCCCGGGCUCAACCUGGGAAUUGCAGUGGAUACUGGGUCACUAGAGUGUGGUAGAGGAUAGUGGAAUUUCCGGUGUAGCAGUGAAAUGCGUAGAGAUCGGAAGGAACAUCUGUGGCGAAGGCGACUAUCUGGGCCAACACUGACGCUGAGGUGCGAAAGCGUGGGGAGCAAACAGGAUUAGAUACCCCAGUAGUCCCUGUCUCUUAUAC
rnacentral:rRNA from 1 species